AGUAUAUUCCAGAAGAGGUAGUUUUGUUUCAGUAAGCUCUAUCCAUCCAUCCACUCCACUUUAACCUACCUUUUGGGGAAAACUGAUCUAAUCCAACCACCGGAGUCGAAGCUCUUUAAAGAAUCCUCACAUGAACUCUCUCAACUCCUGUCUCUGGAUAGCAUAGAAGAAACCCAGCGCCGUUACAGGGAUGCUUACCGCAGCAGCAGCAGUUUUGCUAGUAGUUCUGCUUGGAUGGGCUUACCAGGCUAUCCAACCUCCCCCUCCAAGAAUUUGUGGCACACCAAAUGGUCCUCCUGUCACCUCCCCAGGAUUAAGCUCAGAGAUGGAAGGUACCUGGCCUACAAAGAAGCAGGAACCCCCAAGGAGAAGGCCAAGUACAAGGUCAUCGUUGUCCAUGGCUUUAAUUCUGCCAAAGACUCCGAGUUUCCAGCAUCUCAAGAGCUUGUGGAUGAACUAGGAGUCUACUUCCUAUCAUUUGACCGAGCAGGGUAUGGAGAGAGUGAUCCAAACCCAAAGCGCACGGUUAAAAGCGAAGCUAUGGACAUUCAAGAGCUUGCUGAUAAGUUAGAGCUCGGAUCAAAGUUCUACCUGAUAGGACGUUCCAUGGGUGGUUAUCCUGCCUGGAGUUGCCUCAAUUACAUACCACACAGGUUGGCAGGAGUAGCACUAGUUGCGCCGGCCGUCAACUACUGGUGGCCUUCUUUUCCUGCCAAUCUAUCAAGAAUGGCCUACAAGAAGUUGUUAGUACAGGAUCAGAGAACGUUCUGGAUUGCACACCAUUUUCCUUCCCUUCUGUAUGGGUGGAUGACCCAGAAGUUGCUCCCAGCUUCAGCAGCUAUUCAGGGACAUCCUGAUUUACUUACCCCACAAGAUAUGGAAAUCUUGCAGAAGAUGAAAGCACAUGCUGAGUCACUCGAGUUACAGAACAAAGCAGCACAGCAGAGUGUCUUUGAGUCUCUUCAUCGGGACAUUAUGGUUUUGUUUAGCAAUUGGGAGUUUGAUCCAAUGAAAAUAAGCAAUCCCUUUCGCAAAAAUGAGGGCAAUGUCGACAUCUGGCAAGGCUGUGAAGAUAGGAUCGUCCCAGUGGAGUUACAGCGCUAUAUUGCACAGAAGCUUCCAUGGAUACGAUAUCAUGAGAAUCAAAGAGGUGGACAUCUAUUUGCAUCGAUUGAUGGUUGGGGUGACAAAAUACUUAAGGCACUUCUUCUUGGAGAAGAACCGCCUGCUAUUUAGAACUACUUCAACUCUAACGACAGUUUAAUAUUCAAAAUCAUCUACUAUCACUACAACCAGGAAAUGCAGGGAGAGAAUCCCACUGUUACUUAGGAUUACUUCGACUGCAUUGCCCUUCUGACAGUUGACAGUAUCUACUAGUGCAAUGCCAUUUUAAUAUUCAAAAUGACCUGCUUCAACUGCAAUGCCAUUUUAUAUU